AACAUACUCCCUCCGUCCCAAAAUUCUUGUUUUAGAUUUGUCUAGAUAUGAAUGUAUCUAGUCAUGUUUUAGUAUUUAGAUACAUUCAUUUCUAAACAAACCUAAGACAAUAAUUUUAGGACGGAGGGAGUACUAG
rnacentral:pre_miRNA from 1 species